AUUGAACGCUGGCGGCAUGCCUUGCACAUGCAAGUCGAACGGCAGCACGGGUGCUUGCACCUGGUGGCGAGUGGCGAACGGGUGAGUAAUACAUCGGAACAUGUCCUGUAGUGGGGGAUAGCCCGGCGAAAGCCGGAUUAAUACCGCAUACGAUCUACGGAUGAAAGCGGGGGACCUUCGGGCCUCGCGCUAUAGGGUUGGCCGAUGGCUGAUUAGCUAGUUGGUGGGGUAAAGGCCUACCAAGGCGACGAUCAGUAGCUGGUCUGAGAGGACGACCAGCCACACUGGGACUGAGACACGGCCCAGACUCCUACGGGAGGCAGCAGUGGGGAAUUUUGGACAAUGGGCGAAAGCCUGAUCCAGCAAUGCCGCGUGUGUGAAGAAGGCCUUCGGGUUGUAAAGCACUUUUGUCCGGAAAGAAAUCCUUGGCUCUAAUACAGUCGGGGGAUGACGGUACCGGAAGAAUAAGCACCGGCUAACUACGUG
rnacentral:rRNA from 1 species